CCUACGGGAGGCAGCAGUGGGGAAUAUUGCACAAUGGGGGAAACCCUGAUGCAGCAACGCCGCGUGAGUGAGGAAGUAUUUCGGUAUGUAAAGCUCUAUCAGCAGGGAAUAGAAAAGAAGGUACCUGAAAAAGAAGCCCCGGCUAACUACGUGCCAGCAGCCGCGGUAAUACGCAGGGGGCAAGCGUUAUCCGGAUUUACUGGGUGUAAAGGGAGCGUAGACGGAAAGGCAAGUCAGAAGUGAACGCCCAAGGAGCAACCAUGGGACUGCGUUUGACACUGUCAGACGAGAGUACGGGAGAGGGAAGAGGAAUGCGUGGUGUAGCGGUGAGAUGCGUAGAGAGGAGGAGGAACGCCAGUGGCGAAGGCG
rnacentral:rRNA from 1 species